GCACAGCAGAUCGAACAGCUCCGCGGCCUCGGCAGCCGCCGCAUGUUCGGCCAUCAGCAGCUGUUGCUGCUGUUGCUGUUGCACCGUCAGCUGCUGCUGCUGCUGCUGUAGCUGCAACUGCUGCUGCUGCUGCUGCGUCUGGUGGUGCCGCUGAUGUUGGCGGCUCAUUCUACGAAAGAGA
rnacentral:sRNA from 1 species